GCCGGUGUGAUGGAAUAGGUAGACGUGCUUGACUCAAAAUCAAGUGCCGCAAGGCGUGCCGGUUCGAGUCCGGCCACCGGCACCA
rnacentral:tRNA from 1 species